rnacentral:rRNA from 1 species
AGAGUUUGAUCCUGGCUCAGAUUGAACGCUGGCGGCAUGCCUUACACAUGCAAGUCGAACGGCAGCGCGGGGCAACCUGGCGGCGAGUGGCGAACGGGUGAGUAAUAUAUCGGAACAUACCCUAGAGUGGGGGAUAACGUAGCGAAAGUUACGCUAAUACCGCAUACGAUCUGAGGAUGAAAGUGGGGGAUCGCAAGACCUCAUGCUCAUGGAGUGGCCGAUAUCUGAUUAGCUAGUUGGUAGGGUAAAAGCCUACCAAGGCGACGAUCAGUAGCUGGUUUGAGAGAACGACCAGCCACACUGGAACUGAGACACGG